rnacentral:rRNA from 1 species
UACGUAGGAGGCUAGCGUUAUCCGGAAUUACUGGGCGUAAAGGGUGCGUAGGUGGUUUCUUAAGUCAGAGGUGAAAGGCUACGGCUCAACCGUAGUAAGCCUUUGAAACUGGGGAACUUGAGUGCAGGAGAGGAGAGUGGAAUUCCUAGUGUAGCGGUGAAAUGCGUAGAUAUUAGGAGGAACACCAGUUGCGAAGGCGGCUCUCUGGACUGUAACUGACACUGAGGCACGAAAGCGUGGGGAGCAAGCAGG